rnacentral:lncRNA from 1 species
GUGCCUGAGCCAAAGGAGAUGAGGCUGCAGCAUACAGAUCCUAGGGAUGGUAGACAACAUUUUCCAGAGACACGUGAUGGUAGGCAGCUAAUGACUAUGACCAGGGAUUCUAGACAGGGCACCCCUGACUACAGAGAACAGAACAUACCUGGCCUUAGGGAGCAACGCAUGCCUGACCCCAGGCAAAAGCGCAUGCCUGAAUUCAGGGAAGCUAGACGAAGCUUUCCUGAACUAAAGGAUGUUAGUCGUAGCAUGCCCGAGCCAAGUCAUUCUACUAUAAUGGGGCCCAUGCCAGGCUCAAGAACUGCAAAUGCUGCGACCAAGGUGGAUUCGGUGAUUAAUUCUUAUUCUCCCUGGACUGUAGAUCGUUUAAGACGGAGAUCACCAGAUGAAACUUUGGCUAGUUCUAGUGGUCUGUCAUCAACCAGGAGAGAUGGUGGAUUACUGAGAAAGCUUCCAAUUAGGGCAUACGACGACACCAGAACGAGCACGUACAUGAGCAAAGAUUCUUUUGACUUUUCAAGGCCAACUAGCUCUUCAUCUUACCUGACUAACCUGGUUCCACCUGCUGCACAGACGAAGACCAGGGCACCAGUAACUGCCCCACUUCUUCCAGGCAGUCUUUUACAGAAAAGCUCAUAUGCGGUACAAUCUAGUACCUAUCUUCUUUGCUCUCCAUGAAAUUUUGCUGCCUUCACUGCAACAUGACUUGGAUAGUUAAUUUCCUUUAGUGGCAAUCCUUAUAUAUCUUUUCAUUGUGUUCUAUGUGUAGUUAAGUUGAUAUUUACAUUAUAAAUGUGUGAAAGUUAUGUUUGGAAGAUGAUCCCUGUUGUCAAAUUAGGAUUGCCACAAUAUUUUCUUAGACUGAGAUGCCCUGAUCACAUGAAAUAAAUGACACCAAGAAUUGAAGUCCCCCUCCCCUCCCCUCCCCCCCAACCACACACAGACGUAAUUUUAUUUAGUAUCAGCUACUUGUUUUACUUAGUUUAACGAGUUUAGGUUUUCUUCUAUAAAUGUGUUUAUCCAUAAGAAUAUUAAUAGAUAUUUAUACACUGAAUACUUAGCUAAGGAUAAUGCUUAAGCCAUUCUAAUUUUUGUAGAUCCAUUCAUUACUUCUUACGAGCUUGAAAAUGCAAUGAAGCAAUGCAGUGUAAUUGUGAUAUGACGGUUGGUAGGAUGGAUAUUUGCAAGUUAGAGAUUACUAACAGCUGUAAUAUUGUUUUGCAGACAGCGGAGAGAUGGUAGUGCUGCCAAUGAUAUUGAUGGUAAAAGACAUGUACUUCAGUCUUUGAAGUUCUGCUAAAUUGUAAAUUGAGUUUUUGGCUAACUUAUUUUUUGUUAAUUUUGGUGCUUUUGAAUGAAUAAAGAUAUUCGUCUAAGUAAAGGUGAUCUCCGGUUCAAAAUCCUGCAAAAAAGUAAACUGAAGCAACGUCAAAAUGCCCUGCAGAAUGGAACGGACCUUCGAAACAUUCUGUCAAGGCCUGGUCAAUCUUCAUCGAAUAGCCUAGGUAUGCGGGCAAGGGUGCCUGAGCCAAAGGAGAUGAGGCUGCAGCAUACAGAUCCUAGGGAUGGUAGACAACAUUUUCCAGAGACACGUGAUGGUAGGCAGCUAAUGACUAUGACCAGGGAUUCUAGACAGGGCACCCCUGACUACAGAGAACAGAACAUACCUGGCCUUAGGGAGCAACGCAUGCCUGACCCCAGGCAAAAGCGCAUGCCUGAAUUCAGGGAAGCUAGACGAAGCUUUCCUGAACUAAAGGAUGUUAGUCGUAGCAUGCCCGAGCCAAGUCAUUCUACUAUAAUGGGGCCCAUGCCAGGCUCAAGAACUGCAAAUGCUGCGACCAAGGUGGAUUCGGUGAUUAAUUCUUAUUCUCCCUGGACUGUAGAUCGUUUAAGACGGAGAUCACCAGAUGAAACUUUGGCUAGUUCUAGUGGUCUGUCAUCAACCAGGAGAGAUGGUGGAUUACUGAGAAAGCUUCCAAUUAGGGCAUACGACGACACCAGAACGAGCACGUACAUGAGCAAAGAUUCUUUUGACUUUUCAAGGCCAACUAGCUCUUCAUCUUACCUGACUAACCUGGUUCCACCUGCUGCACAGACGAAGACCAGGGCACCAGUAACUGCCCCACUUCUUCCAGGCAGUCUUUUACAGAAAAGCUCAUAUGCGGUACAAUCUAGUACCUAUCUUCUUUGCUCUCCAUGAAAUUUUGCUGCCUUCACUGCAACAUGACUUGGAUAGUUAAUUUCCUUUAGUGGCAAUCCUUAUAUAUCUUUUCAUUGUGUUCUAUGUGUAGUUAAGUUGAUAUUUACAUUAUAAAUGUGUGAAAGUUAUGUUUGGAAGAUGAUCCCUGUUGUCAAAUUAGGAUUGCCACAAUAUUUUCUUAGACUGAGAUGCCCUGAUCACAUGAAAUAAAUGACACCAAGAAUUGAAGUCCCCCUCCCCUCCCCUCCCCCCCAACCACACACAGACGUAAUUAUAUUACGAAAUAAAAAUUAAUAAAAUAUUAUUGUCCAAUUGAAAUGAUGAGUCUUGAGGCUGUUUACAAUACUAUACCUGUUUAAUAUUGUUUUCCAUUGAAAAUAUUCAAUAUAUGUGAUGUUAUCCAUUUUUAAACAUUGUAAGAAUGACGGUCUUACUUCCAUAUCAACUAUGAGGUUGAUUGAAUAUACUUGGGCUUUUGGUUGCACUCAAAUUGGCUGCAUGAGAUUUACCCUGGAAACAUUUAGGCCGUGGUUGGUUUGCCGUUUUCGGGCCAUUUUCCGUUUUCCGUUUUCGAAAACGCGGAAAGCGUGUUUGGUCCGUCAUUUUCGAAAACGAGUUAAAAUUUAUAACUGAAAACGCAAAACGACUUUUUAUCGUUUUUAGUGUUUUCAGUUAUAAAUGUCGAAAAUGCUCAAAACAUGGAAAACAUGUUGUUUUCGGGGAAAACUAAAAAUUGUUUUAAAAAUGAAAAUGCAAACCAACCACUACCUUAUGUUCUACAAAUGUUAAGUGAGUUAUCGCUGUUCGUGAAAGUGCCACUGCAUGAUGUGGAAGUGGAAUUGUAUCUUGAAACAAGAAGAAAAUUUGAGAAACUUGAUAGUUUAAGAAACUAUAAUUUAAUCGUAAUGAAUUGAUGAUUGAAAAAUUGUAUUAGCCUUUAUUUAUAUAAGAAAAUUAACCCCUAUUUCUAACGAUAUAAUUAAGUUAAACAAUGUUACAAAAAUGAAAGAAAACUAAAAUCUUAAAAUAAAACAAAAAUUUAAAAUAAAAGAAAUAAAAAUCCUAUAAUAAUAAUAACUAACUUUUAUCAUAUUUAUAGUAGGAUUGUCUUAUAUCAUUCUCCCUCAUGUCGUCCUCAAGUUUCGUUGACGAAGAAAAAAUAAUUAAUCAGAGAAAUAGUGAAGAAUUUCUGGCACAUUGAAUAUUGAAGAAAUAUUCAUGUUUUGGUGUACAUUAUAUACUCAGGAAUUGUCUUGUUUGAUGCCAACUUUGCUCCUCCUUUUAAUAUGUACGCUACAAUUUUAACUGGGAUGUUAAUGGAAAUUUUCAAAUAAUCAAAGAAAUUCUUGACAAUGUUAAUCGAAUUGAGAAAGUCUUUGAUAUGUAAACAACCUUUAAAGGUGGGUUCAGCCAUCCUCGAUUUAAACUUCUGCCUACUCUGACUAUGCCUAUAAUUUCGGAGGCGAAUUGACCAUGUUCAUAAGUAUAGGGGCAAAUUGAUCGAGUUUGUAUACUUGAGGCCAAGCUGUAAUUAUCAUCUUCAUCCUCAAAAGAAAACCAAACCUGAUGUCACUUUUGUGUUUUUGGUGCUGCCAUUUACAUGUGCACUAGUUUUUGGUCCGACACUCCUUGUCAAAAAAUUGGGGCGACUCCAUGCUGUCAAAAAUUGUACGAAAAUCAGGUUUAUGUGGUUGAACCCUAGGUGGCGUAUUCCUCAUUUGGUGGUCGUCCCGAUGACGGUUUGCUUCUUAGCAGAAGAUGGGUUGUCGUUCAGCCUGUUGGAUGGGUUUUGAUGGAUUGCUGUUGUCCCUGUUGAUUUAGGUCAUUGGCAGGUUGAACCCUAGGGUUGAAUUCCUUGUGGUUUUCGUUAAGGUUCCAAGCUUCAAAUUUGAAGUUAUCUUCUGGCUGUUGUUCUUCACACGAUGGUACAUCAUAAAGUUUUGAGAGUAAUGGUCCUAAUGGUCACCGGCUGAGCUUGUGGCCAUCCAUGUCUGAAUUGAAUGAUGAGCACAACUAAGCUUUUUUGAACAUCUUGAAGUAUUCUUUCAAGCCCAAUAAGUCGGUGCUCAAUGUUUUUAUACCUACUUUUGUCAUGGGUGGCUUGGACUCCAAUAAUACCGUCCUUAGUCAUUAGGCCACUUGAAACCAAUACCAAUUUUGGUGCAGAAUUAUUUUCCUGAGACAAGAAGAAAAUUUGAGAAACUUGAUAGUUUGAUUAAAGUAUAAUUUUAUUUUAAUGAAUUGAUGAUUGAAAAAGUGUACAAGCCUUUGUUUAUAUAGACUAAAUAACCCCCUAAUCCUAACAAUACAAGGAAACCAAACAAUGUUAUAAAAAGAGAAAGAAAACCAAAAUCCUAAAAGGAAACAAAAAUCUUAUUAUAAUAGUAACCGAUUUCUAUCCAAUUUAUAAUAGGAUUGUCCUACAUGGCAUGUGACGGAUUGGUGCAUAUGUUUUCCAGUAGUCAUGACACAGUCGGCCGUAUCAUGUGAUGUGAUACAGUUUGUACCAUAUGCAGUGGAAGCGAUGAGGCCAGUUUGAAGUUCAAUCCCAAAGGCUAAUGUCAUUUUUAAAACUAUUGUGCACACUUCUUUAAGUUUUGCAAAAGGCAACUUCCCUUUCUUAUUUCUUUUUUGAAUUAUUUGCUUGCCAUAAGAGAACUGUUCAUUGGAAAACCUAUUACUAUAAGCUUUCUUUCUUGUUUCUUCACUCAUAUUUUGAAUUGUGGAGAAUUUUGUUUACUGCAUUUUAUCUCCAAUUUUGCUUCCCUUGUUCUACUGUUCACCUUCCUGCAGGUGCUUCUACUGCGAUCAUUCUUGGAAGUCUACACAGUUCUUUCUGUCACGCUUGCUUGUUAAAUGUUAACAUGGAGAAAUAGUUUUUAGUGUCCAAUACGAAACAUGUUUGGAAAUAUGGUUUUAUUAUAUGUGUAAUUUAUGCUAUUAGUCAGAGGCAGUUACUAGAAUGAUAAAUUUUAGAAGCUGUGUAUUUUAGGCCUACAUUAUAUUCUAGAGAAUUCAUUUUGGAUUUAUUAAGGCUACUGUAGCUAGAAUCCUAAAUUCGACUCUUUCUAUAAGUAGCUAGAAUGAUUGGACUUCCAUGUUUGAUUUUUACCAGUAUGUAAUUUCUUUCUGGGCAGGACUGGACCUUUCCUGGCCUUCUACUGUCUUUAAUCAAUAUUUUCAAAUAAAAUAGCUGACUUUUUACUUCUCGUGUUUGACUAAUGUUUUUUCCUCUCAGACAGCAAGCCCUAAACAUAGUUUGUAACUGAAUUACAGCAACUUGCCUCAUUGGUAUCACAUGGCUUGUUCUAAACAUACAAGAACUUGCAAUUUGUUUUGCCAAGAAAGAAUGAUAAAAAAAAUCCGUCUGUUCGACCAUUUUUUCUGAUAUUUUUACUUUUCUUUAAGAUUAUAGAGUUAAACCAUCUUAUUGCAUACCGGCAUGAAAAAUAGGAUCGCCUGGUUUAUUGCCAAAAUCACAAAAACUUUGAAACUGUGAAGUUUUAUCUGCAUAGGCCUCCAUGUAUAUCCACUCAUAUGCUGUUAUGUUGUGCAGGUUGAUGAUCAACUUACGGUUGACAGCUUUUUGCAGUCACUUGGCCUCGAAAAAUAUGCCAUUCACUUUAAGGCUGAGGAAGUAUGUAACCUCUGGUUGUUUUUUGAUUGCCUUCCACUCACAACGCAACCCUCCCUAUCUUCCUUGCAAUGUAUGACUCAGGUGUUAUGUCUGGGAAUCAUCUGUUGUUAUCCAAAACAAUAACACAAAAUGAAGGGAAAAAAAUCAGUAUAUGGUGAAAAAUGGAAACGUUUCAAUUAUCUUUGCAUAAAUAUUAUGAACGAUAUUAAAUUUCUGGGCAGGGUAAAUUAAAUGAACUGUGGACCCUGUGAUUAAUUUAUUCAUUUUCUGCUACAUAUGGUACCCCAUUAUUCAAAUUCCUGUUUUCUUUGGUUGCUUGUAUGUAAAUUGGAAAACUACAGCCUUUAUAUGCUUGGAAGAACUGAGUAUUUUUUUGUUCUGCAGGUGGACAUGUAUGCUUUGAGGCAGAUGGGUGACAUUGACCUUAAAGACUUGGGAAUACCUAUGGUAAUUACUUUGCCAACUUCUAACUCUUUCAUAUGUUAUUAUUUCAUGAUGUCUUGAGUAUUACGUUUUAUUACCACACACAGCUCAUCAACUGUAUACUUGAAAUUGGCAGCUAUUGCUAAUUGCUCACUGAAUAAUUAUGUUGCCUCAUAGUUGUUUUACGCUUUGUUUCGAUGGUUGAAUAUAAAUGUAGUUAAGGCUAAAGAAUCAGAGCUAGAAUAUGGUAAUACCAUUCUGCAACUUCUAGAUAAUCUUCGUUUCAUAUGCUGAAGAAUACUGUGAUCAGUUCGAUUACGUCUAGCAUAAUGAAUGAGAGUCAUGUUUUGCAUUUCAAAUAUCCCAUUCUUUUUAGUUAUGCUGGUAGAAUGUUCGCAUAUUGCAGGGGCCAAGGAAAAAGAUCCUGCUCUCCCUGCUACCUCUUUCCAAACGACAAGCACGAUAAACGGGCUGGAUUUUUAUUAUCGUGUUAACGCGAAUGAAGGAAUUCUACUUUUGCUACCACAUGCUUUUAGAUGGAAGAUUUUUAAUGAGUCAUUAGUUGCACCUUUCAGUUGUUGAAAAUCAAAGUUGUGGCUGAGGUUUUUCUUAUAUGAGAACAUAUUUUGUCUGAACAUGAGAAAAAUUCUGAUUCAUUUUAUAUUCUCCUCAUUUUGGACUCCAUACAUGCGGUGCACAUUUUACAAUUCAAUUGAAUUAUGGACAUGAGCUCUUUUGGCUUUGCUUAAAACACAGAAAGAAGGAAAGAAGCACAGCUUUCCAUCUUUUUUGGGUAGUAUGAAUUAUAAAAGGUGAAGAUUUUCUGUCUUUCCAAAAGAAGAGGUGAAUACUUCCAUUCCAUGUAUGCCUCUCCUAAGAAAAGAAAAUGUCCAAGAUAGUUCUAGUUUCACAGAAAUAAAAGGAAAUAAAUGAUACCAAUAAAUUGAUUUUGAUUGUCAGUCUUCCUCACAUGUAUUAAUGAAAAUUGUUCACGUGUUACAAUUUUGAGCAAGAAUUGAGUUUAGUCUGCACAUGAGGGGCUAUAAAAAGGUACUUGUUGGUAGUGCUUUUAAGUUCUUAUAAUUUGUUUCUUAUGGAAUAUAUGGGUAAUGGGUGGGUAGUAGGUUAUGGGUCCUUUGAAUUGUGUGAAUAAAACACAGUUUGGAUUAUAAUUUAAGCUUUGCAAAACAUGCUCUCUAUUUCUCUUAAUUUGACCUGACUUGCUUAUGGGUUCUUUUAUUAUCUCAACUGGAGAGUGGAUAGGCAUCCAGUCUUGUCACCAACCCCACCAUUUCUGGAAAUAAUUUGUUUAAAAACUCUCUUUUACUUAGUCUCAUUAAUAUAUAUAUAUCACGACAGGUGGCAUAGGCAUAUGAUUGAGUUUUAUAUUAUAUCAAAAUUAUUAUUCUUUAAUUAUCAUUAGAGCUUGUAUGUAUGACCAGAGAAAAACCUAGUCCACCAGCAGGACAUAUAAAUAUUACGGUCGAGUGUGCAUUUCACGGUUUUGAGAUGUGGAGAUCAGCCCUAAAAUUCAACGCUUCUAGGCGUAAUAAGACAUUUUCCUUUUUAGUAAUUAUUUUAAUUAUUGUAGAUUAAUAAAUAAAUAAAUCAUUAGUGCUUUGUUCAGGGUAGAGAAAGCCAUGUUCCUAGGUCGGGUUUGGACUAGGAUGAGUUUUUGUUGAACUUAUUUUCGUUUUAAGUUUUAGUAAUGGUAGAGCAUUGUCAAACUGGACUGUUAAGGAAAAUUGGAUUCAAGAAUUAGGUUUGAUGACAACUUCCCCUCAGAUUUGAAUAAUAUAAUCUCCAGAUUACGACAUUUGGUUAGUUAAUAUUAAUAUUUGAUUUGAUAUAUUACAAAAUUGUGACUCUAGAAGCUAUUAGUUAAAGAAAAACGAGACUUGAAACGAUAAGAGGACAAAGAGAAUUUGUAUUACUUAAAUAGUUUGAAACAAACUAAAAUAGGGUAAAAUUUUCUCCAGUCUCUAACCUUUUAUUUGUGCCUAACCUUUAGAAUUAAGCUACUUAAACAGGAAAAUUUGACAGGGAUGUGGUGAACUAUGGUUCGCUUGUUUUUAUUUUUUAUUUUUAAAUUUAUCUAUGCCAAGUCUUGUAUGUCACUGUUUUCUGUCAAAUUUUCCCGUCUAAGUAGCAUGAUUGAACCUUUUAAUAUUGACGCCUUAUCUUUUUUUUAUUUUUGUGAUCGUGGGUGUUGUCCGGGUCAACUUACGUGCACCUCGACUAAUUUCACGGGGUGUUGAAGUUUAAUAUUGUGUGCCUUAUCUAUACAGUUGAAACAAACUAAAAUAGGGUAAAAUUUUCUCCAGACUAACCUUUUAGAAUUAAGCUACUCAAAUAGGGAAAUUUGACAGGAAAUAUUGAUAGGGCUAACAUGGCGAAUUGUGAUUUGCCUUCUUUUAAAAAAAAAAAAAAAAAUCAUCUUCCAAUGAAUAAAUGCGAAGUUUUGUCUGUCAUCAUUUUCUGUCGAAUUUCUCUAAUUAAGUAGCAUGAUUUUAAUAUUGUGUGCCUUAUUUAACGUGAUGAAAAAUGUAUGUUUAGACGUUAACUGCUCGUGACGUGUGAUGUUUUUCUAAAACGAUAAAAUUGCUCGAAAUAAUUUUCCUUUUGUUUCCGAAAUCAAAUGGCGCACGUUCAAAUUAUAUGAAUAUUGCUCUUUUUGGGAUAAUUUCUGUCAUUUAGGAAUAACGUUGACCAUUUAACAACUAAAUAGACGAUUUUCGUCCUAUAGAAUAACAAACGUACAGUGUUAAAAGAUUGCGAGCAUGGAAUUUAUGCUAACAAUUACAAGAAUAUUACAAAUAUUUUUACGUAUAUAUAACAACAAUCAAACCAAACUAUCAGGAAUUGUAUGUUUGGUUAAGACUAUUUUUCAUGUUAUAAUUAAUAAAUUUUAGAUUCAAAGCCUAACUUUUACUUUUACUUUUACUUUUACUUUUUAAAUUAUGAUUGAAACGACAACUUUAGUUGCUGAAAAACGUGCAAUAUCUAGAACAUAUAUUGUAUUCUUCAUAACAAAAUUAAAUCAUUCAUUUAGGCAUGCAACGGUUGACUAAAAAUAGUACAAAAAGAUUAAUAUGCUAAUAGUUAUUGAUGCAUAUUCGUGCUUUUAAAUUUCUACAAGAAAUGUCAAAAAGUUGUACACGUGAAAAUUUGCUUUUAAAAUUUUCCUGUCAGCAAUUUUAUUUCAACAUUUUAGAAUUGUACAAACGAAUUAAAUGAGGACAAAUUGUUUUUGUCACUUAUUUCCAAUGUUUUCGAGAACAGACUUGAUAUGCUUAUUCAUCUGGAAACGUUGAGAACUG